rnacentral:rRNA from 1 species
UUCCUACGGGGCGCAGCAGUGGGGAAUAUUGCACAAUGGGCGAAAGCCUGAUGCAGCAACACCGCGUGAAGGAAGAAGGCCUUCGGGUCGUAAACUUCUGUCCUUGGGGAAGAAGAACUGACGGUACCCAAGGAGGAAGCCCCGGCUGACUACGUGCCAGCAGCCGCGGUAAUACGUAGGGGGCAAGCGUUAUCCGGAAUUAUUGGGCGUAAAGAGAACGAAGGGGGCAACCUAAGCGCAGGGUUUAAGGCAAUGGCUAAACCAUUGUUCGCCCUGCGAACGGGGAUGCUUGAGGGCAG